rnacentral:rRNA from 1 species
AACGAACGCUGGCGGCAUGCCUAAUACAUGCAAGUCGAACGAUCCCUUCGGGGAUAGUGGCGCACGGGUGCGUAACGCGUGGGAAUCUGCCCUUGGGUUCGGAAUAACGUUUGGAAACGAACGCUAAUACCGGAUGAUGACGUAAGUCCAAAGAUUUAUCGCCCAAGGAUGAGCCCGCGUAGGAUUAGCUAGUUGGUGGGGUAAAGGCCCACCAAGGCGACGAUCCUUAGCUGGUCUGAGAGGAUGAUCAGCCACACUGGGACUGAGACACGGCCCAGACUCCUACGGGAGGCAGCAGUAGGGAAUAUUGGACAAUGGGGGCAACCCUGAUCCAGCAAUGCCGCGUGAGUGAUGAAGGCCUUAGGGUUGUAAAGCUCUUUUACCCGGGAUGAUAAUGACAGUACCGGGAGAAUAAGCCCCGGCUAACUCCGUGCCAGCCGCCGCGGUAACAC